AUUUUGACUCUUCGUCUUAUUUGAAAUUUUUUUGCGAUUAAUAUUUUUAUUGUUGCUAGAUGAUAAAAUAUGAAAUACUACUUUAUGCGUGACUUUUUUUCUAAAGUUUUUUAUAAAUUUUUUAAAUAAGAUGAAUGGUCAAAGU
rnacentral:pre_miRNA from 1 species